AUUUUCCCACUUUAUUCAGACUGAGGGAAAGCAUACAGGGUUACAAACUGAGAUUGGCCCACAGUACAGGAAGUGCCACAGCAGGGAGACAAACUCUCGCCCAUAUAUGGGCAUUCAUAUACAGGGUUUCACUAACCUGCCUGGACUCCUUUGUUGACCAGCUUGACCGCCUUCUUCGCCACGAGGACAUCCGGCGGGGCCCGGGGCAGGUCGCCGUCCGACGACACAGACUCGCCCGGGGCCACCUGAGGGGAACGAGACAAAGCCGCGAGGUUCAACCGGGCCCGACGGCAUCGAGAGCGCAGAGAGUGUUUAAGGGGAACAAAAAAAGCACAGCUAUCCUCCCUUUCCUGAUGAAGGUGUUCAGUUUAGUUUCUUUUUACCUCAUGUGCUUGCUAUUUGGGGGCUUCAGUCCUGGUUCUUGCUCUAUUUUCUGACGCUGUAAAGUGUCUUUGUGACAGUUUCACGUAAAAAGUGCUACACAAACAAAACUGAUUUGAUUCGAAAAACC